UCAGCAGAGAUGUGGUGUUCAAUGAGAAACACAUGCUGAACAAGUCCGAGAAUGAAGAAUCUGCAGCAAGUGAGUUGCAAAAACACCCAGUUGAGGUGGAGCUUCCUGAAGAGAUUGAAGAUAAUCAACCUUCAGAUCCCCAAGAGAGGUCCUAUAAUCUUGUUAGAGAUCGGGAAAAGCGAGUCAGCAAACCAGUGCAGAGAUAUGGGUUUGAAGACAUGGUUGC
rnacentral:lncRNA from 1 species